GACGGACGCUGGCGGCGUGCCUAAUACAUGCAAGUAGAACGCUGAAGGAGGAGCUUGCUUCUCUGGAUGAGUUGCGAACGGGUGAGUAACGCGUAGGUAACCUGCCUGGUAGCGGGGGAUAACUAUUGGAAACGAUAGCUAAUACCGCAUAAUAGCAGUUGUUGCAUGACAACUGUUUGAAAGGUGCAAUUGCACCACUACCAGAUGGACCUGCGUUGUAUUAGCUAGUUGGUGGGGUAACGGCUCACCAAGGCGACGAUACAUAGCCGACCUGAGAGGGUGAUCGGCCACACUGGGACUGAGACACGGCCCAGACUCCUACGGGAGGCAGCAGUAGGGAAUCUUCGGCAAUGGACGGAAGUCUGACCGAGCAACGCCGCGUGAGUGAAGAAGGGUUUCGGAUCGUAAAGCUCUGUUGUAAGAGAAGAAAGAGUGUGAGAGUGGAAAGUUCACACUGUGACGGUAUCUUACCAGAAAGGGACGGCUAACUACGUG
rnacentral:rRNA from 1 species